rnacentral:misc_RNA from 1 species
AACGCAUAUUGCGCUCGAGGCUUCGGCCAAGAGCAUGUCUGCCUCAGCGUCGGUUUACCCUCAUUGCCCAACACCAUGUGGUGGUGCGCGUGCAAUGGAUCUGGCCGUUCCAGUGAAGCGGCGUGCAUGGUGAAUAUAUACUUUCUUUUAUGAAAGCAUGUCUCUCCCAUGUGCGCGGAUGAGCUCUGGAUUGGCUGAAGUGCAGAGGCCAACCAUGGACCCGCUAUGGGCCGCAACUGGGUAGGCUGAUUUUCAGCAAACGCUUAGUUGUUGGCUUGGGACCCUGGCUCAGCCCUCCUCCAGGAAACCCUAUUAAACCAUUCGACCUGAGAUCAGGCAAGAACACCCGCUGAACUUAA